UACGUAGGGUGCGAGCGUUGUCCGGAAUUAUUGGGCGUAAAGAGCUUGUAGGCGGUUUGUCGCGUCUGCCGUGAAAUUUCGAGGCUCAACCUCGAACUUGCGGUGGGUACGGGCAGACUAGAGUGUGGUAGGGGAGACUGGAAUCCUGGUGUAGCGGUGAAAUGCGCAGAUAUCAGGAGGAACACCGAUGGCGAAGGCAGGUCUCUGGGCCAGCUACUGACGCUGAGAAGCGAAAGCAUGGGAGCGAACAGG
rnacentral:rRNA from 1 species